ACAGCUGAAUCAGGGUUCACUUUUUAGGGCUUAUUGUUGGGCACAGUCCAGAGACAGCCAGAAAUCCCCACAUAUUAAAGCAGAAAGCACCUUCUAGCCGAGCCACGUUGGACGUGGGACCCAUCACUUGUCUUAUUUCCACAUCUUAUAACUUGGAGGAACACAGUUAUUGCAAUCUUUGCACUGUCUGCCUUUCCUCCAUAUGUGCUCUGUAGUGUUAUUUUCUUGACAUUUCUCUUCCUUUGGGGUGGAAAAAGAGGAAAAAGGUCACGGUGGGUGGAAACAAAAUGAGAAGAGAAAGUGCAUGGGCAGAAUUUCAGUGAGGAUGUUGUCACUUCAGAAACCCACACCUCCAACUUGUGGUCUGACGAGGUGAUCAAACUCAGGACACAAGACGGCGCUCCUCGCCCCACCGCAGCUAACGUCAGUCACGUUACAGGGCAGGUAGGAUGGAAAGCGCGUGGCCUAUGCUGCGGUCCAGCUUAGAUUCUAGCAGCGCGGCUUUCAUAUCCUGCUCAGGCAAGCCUUGGUCACUCACUGGGCCUCUGAUUCUGUGACAAAUCCAUUGGGCAGACACCCCGAGAGAGCAAGAGGUGACUGAGUCAUGGCCUGGCUGUGAGGGACAGCCCACAGUCUGGAGAUAGCAAGCCGCCAAUGCUGCAGUCACCCUUAUAAAACAUUUGGAAUUACGGAAGCUGAGCAGAGCAGGUUUUGCUUGUUUACUUUGUUUCUGGUUUGCAGAGAGCAUUAGGUUGGAGGAAGUUUUUUUUUCUUGUUCUUACAUCACAAAAUGUAAACUAUCAGAGACUUAAAGCUUAAGCAUUUUUGUGCAUCCAGACAAACCACGACAAAACAAAACAGCCAGCCACAGCCUACACGUUUGGGCCAGGGUCGUGGUUCUCUCACGGAAUGCUGUUCAGAAGCGAAAAGACACCAACAUUGACAAUUCAGGAGAAGGAGAAUUUCAGACACCGUAUUCAGUUCUCUUUGUGGCUGAGUCUCUGCAAUACGCUGUCUUCCAUGUAAGGACUAGAAUCAAAGGCUGAGCUGUCUCCAUCGCUCCCUGCCCAUUGAGAGCCUAUGGUCAUAUGGGGAAACUACCUUUUCAUCAUGGAAAAGAAGAACUGGUGAGCUUCCUUUGCUGACUCAUUAAGCCAUUCAUCUAGCAUUCACCAAGUGCUACAUUCAUCCAGCGUUCACCAAGUGCUACCGGAGUGCCAGGCUCAGGGCCACAUAGAGCUGUUUAGCUGUUCUUGUGACUUUUUUUCCGCUUUUUCUUUUUUUUUUUUUUUUUGAGACGGAGUUUUGCUCUCAUCGCCCAGGCUGGAGUGCAAUGGUGUGAUCUCGGCUCACUGCAACCUCUGCCUCCCGGGGUGAAGCAAUUCUUGUACCUCAGCCUCCCGAGUAGCUGGGAUUACAGGUGUGUGCCAUCAUGCCUGGCUGAUUUUUGUAUUUUUAGUAGAAACGGGGUUUCCUCAUGUUGGCCAGGCUGUCUCAAACUCCUGACCUCAGGUGAUCCACCAGCCUCGGCCUCCAAAAGUGCUGGGAUUACAGGUGUGAGCCACCACGCCCGGCCAAUUUUUUUUUUCUCCUAACAUCUCAGGGGAACGUUUUUAUCCUCGUGCAGUUUGCCCAUCACGAGCCGGGUCCCGUGUUGAUGCCAAGGUCAUAGCAAGUGUCAUGCGGC
rnacentral:lncRNA from 1 species